rnacentral:rRNA from 1 species
CGGACGGGUGAGUAAUGUCUGGGAAACUGCCUGAUGGAGGGGGAUAACUACUGGAAACGGUAGCUAAUACCGCAUAACGUCGCAAGACCAAAGAGGGGGACCUUAGGGCCUCUUGCCAUCGGAUGUGCCUAGAUGGGAUUAGCUAGUAGGUGGGGUAAAGGCUCACCUAGGCGACGAUCCCUAGCUGGUCUGAGAGGAUGACCAGCCACACUGGAACUGAGACACGGUCCAG